rnacentral:rRNA from 1 species
AUUAUGGCUCAGAUUGAACGCUGGCGGCAGGCCUAACACAUGCAAGUCGAACGGUAACAGGAAGAAGCUUGCUUCUUGCUGACGAGUGGCGGACGGGUGAGUAAUGUCUGGGAAACUGCCUGAUGGAGGGGGGAUAACUACUGGAAACGGUAGCUAAUACCGCAUAACGUCGCAAGACCAAAGAGGGGGACCUUCGGGCCUCUUGCCAUCGGAUGUGCCCAGAUGGGAUUAGCUUGUUGGUGGGGUAACGGCUCACCAAGGCGACGAUCCCUAGCUGGUCUGAGAGGAUGACCAGCCACACUGGAACUGAGACACGGUCCAGACUCCUACGGGAGGCAGCAGUGGGGAAUAUUGCACAAUGGGCGCAAGCCUGAUGCAGCCAUGCCGCGUUGUAUGAAGAAGGCCUUCGGGUUGUAAAGUACUUUCAGCGGGGAGGAAGGGAGUAAAGUUAAUACCUUUGCUCAUUGACGUUACCCGCAGAAGAAGCACCGGCUAACUCCGUGCCAGCAGCUGC